GGAUUGUAGUUCAGUGGUAGAGCACUUGCUUAACACGUGUGAGGCACUGGGUUUGAUCCUCAGCACCA
rnacentral:tRNA from 1 species